UACGGAGGGGGCUAGCGUUGUUCGGAAUUACUGGGCGUAAAGCGCACGUAGGCGGCUUUGUAAGUCAGAGGUGAAAUCCCGGGGCUCAACUCCGGAACUGCCUUUGAGACUGCAUCGCUUGAAUCCAGGAGAGGUGAGUGGAAUUCCGAGUGUAGAGGUGAAAUUCGUAGAUAUUCGGAAGAACACCAGUGGCGAAGGCGGCUCACUGGACUGGUAUUGACGCUGAGGUGCGAAAGCGUGGGGAGCAAACAGG
rnacentral:rRNA from 2 species